rnacentral:lncRNA from 10 species
CCAACGCCGCCGCCGCCGCCGCCGCUCCGCCGCGUGCGCCUGACGGACGGACAUGGGAGCCAACCAGCCAGCCCUCAGGAAGCUGUAGCGAGAGCCAUUGGCCAGAUACGCCCCGCUCCGAGCGCGCCUGACGGACUGACGCCGGAGCCAACCAGCGAGCCCGCAGGAGCCGCAGCGUGCGCCGAUUGGUCGGCGCUGAGACGGCGUGCGGCGAGACAGCGAGGCCCUUGCUUCCCCUCCCGUGGCCCCGGGGCGGAGACCCCUGCCGCACACCCGAGAGGUGAGCCGGGAGCCCAAGCCGGGCGACACCGGUUCCCACGAGGCGCGCGUCGCGCGCGGGACGCGGGGCCCUGGCGGGGCGGCCGCACCUACCCGACACCUGCGGGUCCCUCCGCCUCCCCCGGUGCCGGGCGCAGAGCGGCGCCUCAAUUUGGGUAACAUUUAUGAGAAACAGGACUAAAAGAAUACUGCACACUUAAGUAAGGUAUUAAGGCUAUGGGGUCUCCUUUUGGGGUGAGGUAAUGCUCUGCAACCGGACAGUGGUGACGGCCGCCCGACAUGGCCGGUGUGCUAAUCUACUGGGUUGUGCACUUUAUUUAUUUUUUUUUUUGAGACGGAGGCUCACUCUGUCGCCCAGGCUGGAGUUCAGUGGCGCGAUCUCGACUCACUGCAACCUCCGCCUCCCGGGUUCAAGCGAUUCUCCUGCCUCAGCCUCCCGAGUAGCUGGGACUACAGGCGCCCGCCAUCACGCCCGGCUAAUGUUUGUAUUUUUGAUAGAGACGAGGUUUCACCAUGUUGGCCAGGCUGGUCUUGAACUCCCGACCUCAAGUGAAAACACAACCUAUGGCCUCCAGACACUCAAAUGAAAACAGUGGCCUUGGCGGCCAAAACAGGGGCUGCCCUAGGAGUCCUGUGGGCUGCAUGGGGGAGGCGGCACUGUCAUCUGCCCAGGAGAACGGGAGCUGCAGCAGGUUCUCUCUGGCGGUGCACGGGCUAGCACUGGACACACCACCCCCUCUCCAUCCAGCCUUUGGUGAAAUGGAGACCUUUCACCCCGCUUUGCAGAGAAGGAAACGUUCACGGAGUUGGAAUUCCCCUCCGCCCCAAACCCACAUUCCUGGGACAGCAAGGCCUUGAGAUGGAACUCAGGAAGCCAUCGGAUUCCAUCAACGUCAUCACCCCUGAGUUUGCUGCAAGCAGCCAUGGAAACGUCCCAAGUCCGCACCUGCAGGCUCAGUGAGGUUGCUCAAGCCCAGGAACUAACUGAGCUCUCAAACGUGAUCCUAGUGACAUUCAGAUCUCUCUGCAGUCAAAAUAAUUGUAAAUUCAAAUGAAAACUCCCAAGUGGCCCCACACGGUGAUGAUUAUACAACUAAUGUCCUGUUUUGCUGUCGAAGAC